UUGAGAUGAAUCCAGCAAAAUCAAGCAUAGUUCACACUGAACUUCGAUGUUGACAAGCAUGCAUCUAAAUGUCUUUCGCUCCUAUCUGACUUCUUUC
rnacentral:snoRNA from 1 species